ensembl:lncRNA
AGCGGCUUAUGUUUUGAGGAAUGUCAAAACUAAUAUUCAUGUUUUGUUCAAUCGCAGAGCCGCCUGAAGAAAUACUUCAAAUCACAGAACAAGGAAUUCUCCCUCUUGCUCGAUGACGUAAGAAGCCUCCUCUCAGGUCUGUCCGACUACGAGGACGUUCAGAUGCGGUGACCUGCAGCUCCUGCCCGCGCUGCUGCAGUGGCGAGGUCUCUCCGGAUCCCAGAUCAGGGACGUGCAAUAUGCCAUGAUGGACCUACCCGGCUUUCAACUCCCACCCACGCCUGCUUCCUGCUUCUCCUGCUUCACCUGGUGGCGAAGCUGCUGCACGCCGGAAUCCACGGUUGUCAGCGAGGAGGACGGCUCUCAGAUCUGAUGCAAGGGAGUUGGAAUAAGCUUCAAGUGUACGUUAUGUCACUGGUGUCGCUUCCUUUCAGGUGUCGUUGUCGUAUAAGGAAAUAUACAUAUUUGUCGGGACAUUUGCACAUCGUUGACAGUACCGUUAUGUUUUGUGCAUCAACUUGUUGUAGAUCGGUCAACCUGUGCGCCUCCCGUCUCAUUCUUACUGUAUUUAUGCACAAGGCUAAAGUGCAACAGAAAGGCCGUGACUUGCGUGGAAUGUGGACGCAGGUUUCCGAAGCGAAGCUCA